rnacentral:rRNA from 1 species
CCCUUAGAUGUUCUGGGCCGCACGCGCGCUACACUGAUGCAUUCAACGAGCCUAUCCUUGACCGACAGGUCCGGGUAAUCUUUGAAUCUGCAUCGUGACGGGGAUAGAUUAUUGCAAUUAUUAAUCUUCAACGAGGAAUGCCUAGUAGGCGCAAGUCAUCCGCUUGCGUCGAUUACGUCCCUGCCCUUUGUACACACCGCCCGUCGCUCCUACCGAUUGGGUGUGCUGGUGAAAUGUUCGGAUCGGCCGUUUGUCGCGGUUUCCGCGUCAUGUGGCUGAGAAGUUCAUUAAACCCUCCCACCUAGAGGAAGGAGAAGUCGUAACA